rnacentral:rRNA from 1 species
AUUGAACGCUGGCGGCAUGCCUAACACAUGCAAGUCGAACGAGUGGCGGACGGGUACGUAAUGUCUGGGAAACUGCCUGAUGGCGGGGUGUAACUACUAGAAACGGUAGCUAAUACCUCAUACCAUCAGCUGUCCCCAGAUGGGGUUAGCUUGUUGGUGGGGUAACGGCUCACCAAGGAGCCGAUCCCUAGCUGGUCUGAGAGGAUGAACAGCAACACUGGAACUGAGACACGGUCAAGACUCCUACGGGAGGCAGCAGUGGGGAAUAUUGCACAAGGGGCGCAAGCCUGAUGCAGCCAUGCCGCGUGUAUGAAGAAGGCCUGCGGGUUGUAAAGUACUUUCAGCGGGGAGGCGUUACCCGCAGAAGAAGCACCGGAUAACUCAGGGACAGCCGCCGCGGUAAGUC